UAUAUAAGUGUGUAUCCAUUUAAAUUUUUGACAUUUAAGCUUUAGGUUAAUUUUAAAAAUAUAA
rnacentral:tRNA from 1 species